CCUGCACUUCUCUCCUCUACCCACCACUACCCACGCCAAACUCUCACCACCGUCGUUGCUGCCAUCGCCUCUCCUCCCGUGUCCCAUCUUAUCUUCUCUUCUGCGUGCCAUCUUUUCUUCUCUCCUCUCCUAUCUUCUCUCCUCUCUAGCAGCCAAGUCGCCGAUUUGUGUACCGCUUAGUACCUCCAUCGCCUCCUCUCCUGGGGCAAAGAAUCGCGCUCGCCGCCACUAUCGUCGACUUGCCUCCUACUGGAAACCGCUAAGAGGUUAGCUCAUACACCUUUCUGCUGGAAAAUCAAAUUUCUUUUUUGCCCCAAUCAAAUUUCUAUUGUCAAUCCUCGCGAACUAAAACGAAAUUCAUCUAUUCAGGCUCAAAGAGCUUGCAAGUCCCAUUCUCGGAUACCAAGUGUUGUGAGUCCUGACUAUAUACGCCAGUCAUUUAGCUUCUGGUCUCUUACUCAAUCAUGUAUUGCAACUUACAAGCACAGAACAAAUUCGUUUAUGAUGGAUGGCUAGGAUGUACCUUUCCGAGAUGUCGUGGCUUAUGUGAAGAAGAUAUAUUUAAUUGGGUCUUGCUGAGUUCAUCCUUCAACCAUUAAAUGUAAUAUUUAAUUGGGUCUUGUAGGGUGCAAUUGGGGUUGUGUUUGGUGUUGCUAGUUUGGUGCACUUAGUUUGUUUGGAUUUUGUUUUUGUCCUGUAGUUUUCAAGGGUCAUGUGUUGUUUGCUUUUGUCUGCAAGGAGUUGUUGUGAGCACUGUUGUUGCUGGCGUUGGGUCUAUUUAUGCAUGUUGUUGAGCUCUUGAUGUUGUAUUUUAUGUGGCAGUUGUUGUAUCUAGGCGUGUUGAUUUUCUGGAGUGUUUC